rnacentral:lncRNA from 1 species
AAUUUGCACAGAAUAGUUAACAUGACCCUUAAAUAUCCCUCUCAACGCAAAUAAAAAAAAAGAGAAAAAUAAAGGAUACAAAAACAGAACAAAAAGACAAGAAAAAGAAUAAUAAACGAACUAAUCCAGUUACACGUACUUAUCAUGUGUUCCUGCGGCACUUUUUUGUAUAGUUAUGAUCAUAAAGCAAACAUUUGAUGAUGCGGC